GGAGGCAAGAGAUCAUAGAGAGAGGCGCUUUCACAUCUUCUUAACCCGAAAUGGCAAAUGGCUGGGGAGAGGAAAGGUUCCUU